rnacentral:misc_RNA from 1 species
UACGUGGGGUGCAAGCGUUAUCCGGAAUUAUUGGGCGUAAAGAGUUCGUAGGCGUCUGGUCAAGUUCCGUUUGAAAUUCCAAGGCUCAACUUUGGACCCGGACGGAAAACUGAUCAGAUCGAGUCUGUUAGGGGGUACUGGAACUCAUAGUGUAGCAGUGAAAUGCGUUGAUAUUAUGAGGAACACCAAGGGCGAAGGCAGGUACCUGGGACACGACUGACGCUGAGGAACGAAAGCUAGGGGAGCGAAAGGG